rnacentral:rRNA from 1 species
CACGUAGGGGCCAAGCGUUUGUCCGGAUUUAUUGGGCGUAAAGAGCUCGUAGGCGGUUCGGUAAGUCGGGUGUGAAACCUCCAGGCUCAACCUGGAGACGCCACCCGAUACUGCUGUGACUUGAGUCCGGUAGGGGAGCGUGGAAUUCCUGGUGUAGCGGUGAAAUGCGCAGAUAUCAGGAGGAACACCGGUGGCGAAGGCGGCCUGCUGGGCAGUAGCUGACACUGAGGCGCGACAGCGUGGGGAGCAAACAGG